GACGAACGCUGGCGGCGUGCUUAACACAUGCAAGUCGAACGGAAAGGCCCUGCUUUUGUGGGGUGCUCGAGUGGCGAACGGGUGAGUAACACGUGAGUAACCUGCCCUUGACUUUGGGAUAACUUCAGGAAACUGGGGCUAAUACCGGAUAGGAGCUCCUGCUGCAUGGUGGGGGUUGGAAAGUUUCGGCGGUUGGGGAUGGACUCGCGGCUUAUCAGCUUGUUGGUGGGGUAGUGGCUUACCAAGGCUUUGACGGGUAGCCGGCCUGAGAGGGUGACCGGCCACAUUGGGAGUGAGAGACGGACGAGACUCCUACGGGAGGGAGCAGUGGGGAAUAUUGCAGAAGGGGCGGAAGCAGGAUGCAGCAACGCCGCGUGCGGGAGGACGGCGUUCGGGUGGUAAACCGAUUUCGACUGUGACGAAGCGUGAGGGACGGUAAGGGGGAAAGAAGCACCGGCUAACUACGU
rnacentral:rRNA from 1 species